rnacentral:misc_RNA from 1 species
AACGCAUAUUGCGCUCUUUGGUAUUCCGAAGAGCAUGCUUGUUUGAGUAUCAGUAAACACCUCAAAGCCUUUUUUUUUUAUUAAAAAAGAUUUUGGACUUGAGCAAUCCCAACAUUUUUUCUUAAAGUGGCGGGUUGCUUGAAAUGCAGGUGCAGCUGGACAUUCUCCUGAGCUAAAAGCAUAUUCAUUUAGUCCCGUCAAACGGAUUAUUACUUUUGCUGCAGCUAAUAUAAAGGGAGUUUGACCAUUUUGGCUGACUGAUGCAGGAAUUUCACAAGAGUCUUCAAACCACUCUUGUUAAACUCGAUCUCAAAUCAAGUAAGACUACCCGCUGAACUUAA